UACGUAGGGGGCAAGCGUUGUCCGGAAUCAUUGGGCGUAAAGAGCGUGUAGGCGGCCCGAUAAGUCCGCCGUGAAAGUCCAGGGCUCAACCCUGGAAUGCCGGUGGAAACUGUCGGGCUGGAGUCCGGAAGAGGCGAGUGGAAUUCCUGGUGUAGCGGUGAAAUGCGCAGAUACCAGGAGGAACACCAAUGGCGAAGGCAGCUCGCUGGGACGGUACUGACGCUGAGACGCGAAAGCGUGGGGAGCAAACAGG
rnacentral:rRNA from 1 species